rnacentral:rRNA from 1 species
GAAUAUUGCACAAUGGACGCAAGUCUGAUGCAGUAACGCCGCGUGGGGGAAGAAGACCUUCGGGUUGUAAACCUCUUUUAUGGAGGACGAGUGAGGACGGUACUCCAGGAAUAAGUCUCGGCUAACUACGUGCCAGCAGCCGCGGUAAGACGUAGGAGGCGAGCGUUAUCCGGAUUCACUGGGCGUAAAGCGCAUGUAGGCGGUCGUCUAAGUCCGCGGUUAAAGCCCCCGGCUCAACUGGGGGAGGUCCGAGGAGACUAGUCGACUUGAGGGCAACAGAGGCACGUGGAACUCCCGGUGUAGCGGUGGAAUGCGUAGAGAUCGGGAAGAACACCAGUGGCGAAGGCGACGUGCUGGGUUGCACCUGACGCUGAGAUGCGAAAGUGUGGGGAGCAAACGG